UCAUACUCCUGUGAAUGUUGCUGCCUCUCAACAAAUGCCUUUGCCUUUAUGCUAUUCAGGGUCAAAUGAGGCAGUUGAGACUUCUGAAGGAGCACAACGGGAACAAAAUUGUCCCAGUCUAGCUACUUCUGAGUCAAAUCGGCCAAUCUUUAACAGCUUUGAUGGACAUCCUGCUGCAAUACUUUGUUCGAAGAAAUGGCUCUCUCUGGGAAAUAAAGAGGAGACGGACAUAUUCAGAAAGGGACAUUUGGAAGAAAAAGGAGGUUCAAAGAAGAGAGAGGACCUUUGCCUGAGAAAAGGGAAAAUGCUAAAAGGCAACAAUGAUUAAGUAAAACUCUCUAAUUUUUGUUUUGAUUCUGUUUUCUCUGAAAAAAUGAAAUAGAGGAUUUCCAAACAUUCUUGUUGAAAAGAUCAAAGUUGGGUAGAUGCUUUGAAUACAAACACAAGAGAAUCAUAAAAAGUUAAACAUGAGCCAUCAAUCGUAAGAGACUAUAUAAAGAUAAACUGCCCACAUUUUAAUAGAGAGAGAUACUAUGCAUACCCUUACAAAUCUCUCAGAAUCUAUUUUCUUUAAGGGUCAUAGAGGAAAUCUAAUAACAUAGAGGAUAUGUGAGUGAUUUUGUUAUGUUUUCAUGUUCUUAAAAAAAAAGAAAAGAAAGGGAGGAAAAGGGGAAAAAGGAAAAAGAGGACUAGGAGGGGAAAGAUAGAAAAACAGUAGCAGAAAUUAUCUCAUAAUUCAGUUGCACAAGGAAAAGUCUGUACAAAUAAAGAAGAAGAAAUGUGGAGAAGCA
rnacentral:lncRNA from 1 species